GCCAAGUGUACGAGGGUGCCACAGAGGGUUAGGUAAGACGCCCCUGCCAUGGCCUUACUCAACUAGGGCCAUGGACCACCGGAGGGCCAUUGGAGGGGAGAAAUAAUGGUCCAUAGUGCCAUAUUUUGUGAUUUUCAAGGAGUAGCUGUGAAUGGCCUCAAUGAAGAAUGCGAGAAGUCUGAACAUGAGAUACAGGAGGAGGAGGAGGAGGGCCUGAUACAACAAGAAUGUGGCUUCACCUACAGGGGAUGCAUUUGAGAUUAAGCCGUGAAUGGCCUCAAUGAAGAACAUGAGACACAAGAGAAGAUAGGAGGAGGAGGAGGAGGAAUACAUACAUAGGAAGAAUACAUAGGAAGAACAGACACCAGAAGACCUAUCGGUCUAUGGCGAGGGUGUCUGUUUAAGGAGGAGGAGAGAAGGAGGAGGGCCUGAUACAACAUGAAAGCCUUCCCAAAUGUGUGUGUGUGUGUGUAUUUACCCAGUUUUACCCAGUUGUAGUUUUACAGGGCCUGGGCAUUAUGCUCGUGUGGUCCCGUCUCCGUGUCUGCAUUUAUCCAACUUAUCUUUAAAGCUUUGCACACUCCUCGCUGAUACUGUAUCCUCGCUCAGACUGUUCCAAACCUCUACAUUUCUUUGCGGGAAGCUAUACUUCUUAGUGUCUCUCAAGCAUCUCCCCUUUCUCAAUUUUUUACUGUGUCCUCUUGUAUUUCUGCUUAUGUUUCCUUCUGUUAGUAGCAGUUCUUCAUUAUCUACUUCAUCUAUUUUGUUUAAUAAUUUAUAAAUUUGGAUUAGGUCUCCCCUUUCUCUUCUUUGUUCCAGUGUUGUUAAGUUCAUUUCCUUUAAUCUUUCCUCGUAUAUUAAUCCCUCCAACUCUGGGACCAUUUUUGAUGCCAUCCUCUGUAUUCUUUCUAGUUUCUUUAUAUGCUUCUUCUUAUGGGGGGACCACACUACCUCUGCAUAUUCUAAUUUUGGUCUAAUCAUGGUAGUGAUUAGCCUUCUCAUCAUGUCCUUGUCCAUGUAGCUAAAUGCUACUCCAAUAUUUCUCACCAAGUUAUAUGUGUCUCUAAAGAUCCGAUUUAUAUGACUCUCUGGUUGAUUAUCAUCCCUCAUCACUACUCCCAGGUCUCUCUCUUCAUGCACUUUUUUUAAUGUUUCACCAUUUCCCAUUUUGUAUAUCCAGAUUGGUCUUGUUUCACUUUUACCCAUUUCCAUAACAUUACAUUGUUUCACAUUAAAUUCCAUCUCCCAAUCCAUACUCCAUUUCCAAAUUUUGUAUAGGUCUUUUUGCAAUAUUUCACAAUCUUCUUUGUUUCUUAUAUGUUUUUGUAAUUUAGCGUCAUCAGCAAACAGGUUUAUGUAGCUAUUAACUCCUUCAGCCAUGUCAUUUACAUAUACCAGGAAGAUUAUCGGUGCUAAUACUGAACCCUGUGGUACUCCGCUUUCUACAUUUCUCCAUUCUGAUUUUAUGUCCUUGACCACAGUUCUC